UACGGAGGAGGCAAGCGUUAUCCGGAAUUAUUGGGCGUAAAGCGUCCGCAGGUGGCACCUCAAGUCUGCUGUCAAAGACCGGGGCUUAACCCCAGAAAGGCAGUGGAAACUGAAGUGCUAGAGUGCAGUAGGGGUAGAGGGAAUUCCCGGUGUAGCGGUGAAAUGCGUAGAGAUCGGGAAGAACAUCGGUGGCGAAAGCGCUCUGCUGGACUAGCAACUGACACUCAGGGACGAAAGCUAGGGGAGCGAACGGG
rnacentral:rRNA from 1 species